rnacentral:lncRNA from 1 species
UUUGUUUUGGUUGCUGGGAAUUCUGUGUUUCACAGUGAAGUUUUAGUGUUUUGAGCCUUUUGAGUUUGUUUUUGGGCUCCUUUUGGUUGUGAACUAAUGAACUGUAUUUAUACUAAAGUCUGGUCUGGCGCUUUAAGAAGUCUGUGUUGCAACAGAGAGUCUUACAAUAUUUGUCCUAUCAAAGCUCAUAACAAGCAAAGUACAUUCUCAUAUAUAUAUUGUAGUAUUUACAUCAAGUAUACAAAAGUGAUCUGACCAUUCACUGAGAGAUGAAAUAAUACUUUAUUUCCAGUGUUUGGCCUAAGACUAUUUGGAGCAUUUGGGAAAAAAUCCCUCUUCCUUGACCUUGAGGGUCUGUCCCAUGAAUACUCCCCCCCCCUCCUUCUCUCUGCGGCAUCCAAAAUAUCUGUUUGCAAACAGGUGCCGGAUGUGACCCAUAGCGGAGGGAUGGAUUGAAAGCAAACACUCCCAUCUGUGCCCAUGCCUUUCUUGCUUUGGGGACGGGCGGGGGGAUAUCCGGUGUCUCCCCCGCUUUGGAAGCCCCAAAAUAGCCUCCCUUUGCAUUCAGACACACUCACACUCACACUCACCCCAAAAAAGCCUUUGCUGCAGCAACAGAAGAAGAAGAAGAAGAAGAAGAAGAAGAAGAAGAAGAAGAAGAAGAAGAAGAAGAAGAAGAAGAAGAAGAAGGGGGGAGAUGGGACCCUGCCUCUAUUUGGGGGCCCUUCUCUUCUGGGGGUCCCUCUCCUGGGUGGGGGCCAAUGAGGAGCGGAGGCUGGUGGAGACCCUCUUUGCCAACUACGACCGGACGGUGCGGCCGGUGCUGAACGGAGGGGAGGCCCUGGAGGUGUCCAUCAAGCUGACCCUCACCAACCUCAUCUCCCUGGUAGGAAGGCCUUGUCUCUCGUGACUCGGUCCACACCGAAAGACCAACUUGUGAAACUCAACUCAGGCAGGGGAAAUCUUUUUCUAAAUCCCACUGCUGCCUCCAAUUGAGGAGAUGUGCGCGCGUGUGAGAGGGAGGGAUGGAGGAUGUGUGAAUGUAUGACUGGGAGGAUUUAGUGGAUAAGGAAGGCUAACAGAACUGAUGGGUUUAAAUGAGUAAAGAUGGUAACUUAUAUAGAAAAGUACGGUAACUUAUAUAGAUAGGUACGGUAACUGCCACCAAAGUGAGGUGAUGGUAAUAAUAAUAAUAAUAAUAAUUAUUAUUAUUAUUAAUUAUUAUUAUUAAUAUUAUUAAUAAUAAUUAAAUAAUAAUAAUUGAAGAAGGGAAAAAUCA